rnacentral:rRNA from 1 species
CGCAAGAUUAAAACUCAAAUGAAUUGACGGGGGCCCGCACAAGCGGUGGAGCAUGUGGUUUAAUUCGAUGCAACGCGAAGAACCUUACCUACUCUUGACAUCCAGAGAACUUUCCAGAGAUGGAUUGGUGCCUUCGGGAACUCUGAGACAGGUGCUGCAUGGCUGUCGUCAGCUCGUGUUGUGAAAUGUUGGGUUAAGUCCCGCAACGAGCGCAACCCUUAUCCUUGUUUGCCAGCGAGUAAUGUCGGGAACUCCAGGGAGACUGCCGGUGAUAAACCGGAGGAAGGUGGGGACGACGUCAAGUCAUCAUGGCCCUUACGAGUAGGGCUACACACGUGCUACAAUGGCGCAUACAGAGGGCAGCCAACUUGCGAAAGUGAGCGAAUCCCAAAAAGUGCGUCGUAGUCCGGAUUGGAGUCUGCAACUCGACUCCAUGAAGUCGGAAUCGCUAGUAAUCGUGGAUCAGAAUGCCACGGUGAAUACGUUCCCGGGCCUUGUACACACCGCCCGUCACACCAUGGGAGUGGGCUGCAAAAGAAGUAGGUAGUUUAACCUUCGGGGGGACGCUUA